UUCCUGUGUUUCCUCAAAUAGCGCCCUUACAAGAUGAGCCCCUUCCCCCGCUGAGUUCUUCAGCCUCCCUCCCCCUCAGAAAGGUUACAGCCCCUCACCAUGCUUCAAUGAACAGUCUUCUGUUGAGAACCAGUCUGGUCUGCUUUUCUCUUUCACUUUCCUGACAACUGUUAGUGCUAUUUUAGUUUUUUGAGACAAAAUCUCAGUUUGUAGCUCAGUGUUGUGUUAACUUUUCUAGGAAGAUGCGAACAUCUGCUCAACCCAUGUAGGAUAUUAAUGAGCUACCAAAUUAAGUAUCCACCGAAGUCUAACUGGGAGCAUGAGUUUACUGGGCUUCCUUAUGGAGAUUGUGAGUAAAGUGUUACUGACAGGACCGUAGAUGACUCCACGAAAGCACCAUCGCCCACCACGUCUCCACCGCCUCCUGGAGGAGAACCUUCUUGAAGCUCUAUCAUGAAGCUCCCUGUACUUUUGCACACUGUGCAUGAAUAGAAGAGUCUCUUCACCCAGCAAAUGCCACUGUUGGGGCCCUUUGAAUCUGAUGGAAUGAAGCAGAAAUGUUAGGUUAUAGCAGCCAUCUUACAGCCAUGAAGUUGAAGGAUACAAGGUGGAGAGGUUGGCAAUCAGAUCCAUCAGAGAAUGUGGAUAAAGAAGCAAAAGGCUGGGCUGGAGAGACGGCUCUGCAGUUAAGGUGGUUGAUUGCAGUCUAAUGACCUGGAUUUGAGUCCCCAGUACCCA